GAUGAACGCUGACAGAAUGCUUAACACAUGCAAGUCAACUGUGGCGGACGGGUGAGUAACGCGUAAAGAACUUGACUCUCGGAUAGGGACAACAUUUGGAAACGAAUGCUAAUACCUGAUACUGUGAGAGAGCUUUGCGUCCCAUUAGCUAGUUGGAGAGGUAACGGCUCACCAAGGCGAGGAUGGGUAGCCGGCCUGGGAGGGUGAUCGGCCACAAGGGGACUGGGACACGGCCCUUAGUCCUACGGGAGGAAGGAGUGGGGAAUAUUGGACACUGGACCAAAGUCUGAUCCAGCAAUUCUGUGUGCACGAUGAAGUUUUCGGAAUGUAAAGUGCUUUCAGUUGGGAAGCGGUACCAACAGAAGAAGUGACGGCUAAAUACGUGCCAGCAGCCGCGGUAAUAC
rnacentral:rRNA from 1 species